rnacentral:lncRNA from 1 species
ACCUUCUCAUUCUCCUCUUUCUGAAUCUGACCUCAAUUUUUCUCAUAUCCCCGUCAAUCGCGUUGAAUAUUCGUUGGAAGCUGAGGCUGCUCCACCGCCCAUGGUGGCGCCGACGCCAAACAACCCCAAAAGAACACCAAACACUCUCCUCACCCUCCUCUUCCCAAAUCCGACCAUGUUCCCUUAAAUCCCAUCCGGAUUGCUCAAAUAAUUCAAACCCUAACCGCCCCCUCAAUUCUUUGGUGGUGGAGCCACCCUCAUACCUCACCAAACUAACACCAUAUAGCCUCAUCACCUCCCUCUUUACGAACCCAUAGUCUAUAGCCUUCGAAUGGCACUGGAACUGCUCGAAUUUUAAAUCAAAGACAAGCAGAACCCUAGAAUAUUUGAAACGGGUGAUUUCUUCCUCAAAUUCUCAAAUCAAAGCCCAGUACUUGUUUCAAGCCCUACAUAGAUAAGUUCUUCUUUUCUUUCCUUUUAUUUUGAAUUCCUUAUUUUUAAAAGUAGUUUAAACUUGGUUUUCUAUUAAUCAGUUCAUUAUGCAGUAUUCUAGGUUCAUUUGAUUUUAUUUAAGUCUUUAAUUUUAUUGAUAGAUUAGCAUUUCUGCUUAUUAGUUGAUUCUUGUUUAUCAGUGUUCUAAAAUUUCUUUGUUUUUCUUUUAUCUGUACAUUUUUUCUUAUAGCAUAGUUUUCUUAUUUUUGUUGUCUUUUCGUUCAUCUCCAGUGAUCCUUGAUUUAGGGUUUAAUGGGUUCUGAUUACAUUUUGUCAUCUGACUUGAUUUUAACUGUAGGAUUUCAUGUGUAGUCGUUGUUUUGCAUUUUUUUUAUUUUGUUUUUUCCAUUCUUCAUAGUGUAGUUUCAACUUUAUUUAUUUCAUCUUAGCUGUUAAUACUAAAAUUAGCCUUAGGACACUGGUUUAGUUAGAAUUCAUUCUAAUUGAGGUUAUUUGUUUGUAACUGAUCAUUUUAGCUCUUUGAUCAAUUAACUAGGAUUAUUUGACCAUGGUUAAAAGGGGCUGGGGUUAGUAUUAACUAGGUUAGUAAUUUUAGGACCAAUUUAAGGGUAGUAUAUGUACUUCAAAAUAAGAAUUUUGCAGUAACAGGAAUUUGGAAACCACUAGAGUCUUCUAAAUUGGGGUUUCAAUCUGAAAUUCAGGACUUAAUUGGUAUUACUUUGGCAACAAGCCAACAAAUGAGGGACUAAAUAGUUAAAACUGAAAAAUAAAAGAGGAAUUAAAGGUGUAAAGUAAAAUCUAAAUGUUGCCCUAGACUUUGCCUAUAAAAGGCAUGCACAAUGCCUUGUUGAAAAGAGGUUUAAAAAAUUUUGAAAAAUUCAAAUAAAUUCUUAGAAGUCUAGAGAGCUCAAAAACUCUAAAAAUUUUAAAUUUCAGAUCCAAAUACUACUGAAAUACCUACAAAAAUGUCAAAAAACUUUGGUAGAAUUAGAUAGUUUAGAUACAAAACUUCAGAUCCUAGAAACAGAAAUCCUAAAAAAUCAACAAAAAUAUAGUAUAAAAUCCUUU